AACCUUAUGGACCUGCGGGCGUAUACCUGCGGAAGGAUCAUUAACAUUUUUGGAGGUAGGCUGUAUAAGUCUGGUUGGUAACAACUAGCAUGGCCCCUCUGAUUUGUACCCUUGUCUAUUUGCGCACUUAUGUUUCCUCGGUGGGCUUGCCUGCCGAUUGGACAAACUUAUAACCUUUUUAAUUGUUAAAUCAGCGUCUGAAACAAACAUAAUAAUUACAACUUUUAACAAUGGAUCUCA
rnacentral:misc_RNA from 1 species